CUACGGGGUGCACCAGUGAGGAAUAUUGCACAAUGGGGGAAACCCUGAUGCAGCAACGCCGCGUGGAGGAUGACGCAUUUCGGUGUGUAAACUCCUUUUAUAUGUCAAGAAAAUGACGGUAGCAUAUGAAUAAGCACCGGCUAACUCCGUGCCAGCAGCCGCGGUAAUACGGAGGGUGCAAGCGUUGAUUCGGAAUCACUGGGCGUAAAGGACGCGUAGGCGGGUUUUCAAGUCAGGUGUGAAAUCCUAUGGCUCAACCAUAGAACUGCACUUGAAACUGUAAACCUAGAGUAUGGAAGGGGCAGAUGGAAUUAGUGGUGUAGGGGUAAAAUCCGUAGAUAUCACUAGGAAUACCAAAAGCGAAGGCGAUCUGCUGGGACAUUACUGACGCUAAGGCGUGAAAGCGUGGGGAGCAAACAGGAUUAGAUACCCUAGUAGUC
rnacentral:rRNA from 1 species